rnacentral:lncRNA from 1 species
CCAGCGGGGCCAUUAGUGGAAUCCAAAUCUCCCAGCUCCAGUAAAUUCUUCUGGUGCUUUUCCAGGGGCUGAAGUAUGAGACCAAUUUAAGGAAAUAAUGUAAUGCACUGCUAUAGUAAAGAUACUAUACAUCUGCACAUGAUGACAACUUAACUGCAGGUACUGGAUGGGUCCCACAGGUUAUAUUUAUUAUGUCUCUGAAAAUGACCACAAGCGAGGAAAGUGAAUUAAUUCCUUUCAGUGAUAUGGUAUUUUUGGAGGCUGUGUUUCUCCUUCGCUCUGAGUUUUCAAUAGGCCAGCCCCCUCCUGCUGGCCCCCUCUCUUGAUUAGUGCCUGGAGACCAUGGAUUUGGAAUGACAUUCCAGGCUGAUCUAGUAACAGGGUUUGGACAUGAACGCUGCAAGCACUGAGCCAAACUGGAGUCCUCGCUAUGCCAGAAAUGCAUUGUUCAGCACUGUCUGGGCAGUGCACCUGCACCUGCAUGCUGGAACUGCCACCAAGGAAACCUUCCUGCAGACCUGCUUCUCAUUACAUCCCUAGAUCAACAUGUUCUUUGGAAUGACAUAGGAUCUGGCCAGCUCCCUCUCCUGAGCUGCUGUACCCUGAGGUUUGCGGGAUGCUGAUACCAUGCUCUCCAAGAUGUUCAAAAGCUCGGAUAAACAUUUGGUAAUGUGGAUUUAUGGCUUUCUCUACCCAGGCAGAUCACACAUGUUGUAACCACACUGAAAAUAUUUCCUGAAGAACAGCAGGAGAAGGAGUGGGAGAAAUGCAGGCAAGAAGUUACAGUGGAGAAGGAAAGCCUUCAUCCCAAAGCGCAAAAGCUGUGCGCAGCUAAAGUUCAGACGAUGUUGGGUGCACUGAACAGGUUACAUGAAAAGCAACUUGGCUACCAGAAAUAAUUCUAAAUGCUUCAGCGCUGAGGAUGUCUGCCACUGAGAACAGCAGCACCUGGACCUACACGUUGAAGCUCAUAGCCAACAGUCCAUGCCACAGGCUAUGGAGAGUCAAGACCAAAAGCAGUUUCAUGGAAGUCCAGCUGGACAAAGAACCCAUGCAGCGGAGGGAACUGAGCCCCACGUUUGAAGUUUACAGCUCACA